rnacentral:rRNA from 1 species
GACGAACGCUGGCGGCGUGCUUAACACAUGCAAGUCGAACGGAAAGGCCCUGCGUUUGUGGGGUGCUCGAGUGGCGAACGGGUGAGUAACACGUGAGUAACCUGUCCCUGACUUUGGGAUAACUUCAGGAAACUGGGGCGAAUACCGGAUAGGAGCUCCUGCUGCAUGGGGGGGGUUGGAAAGUUUCGGCGGUUGGGGUUGGACUCGCGGCUUAUGAGCAUGUUGGUGGGUAUUGGCUUACCAAGGCUUUGACGGGUAGCCGGCCUGAGAGGGCGACCGGCCACAUUGGGCCUGCGAUACGGCCCAGACUCCUACGGGAGGCAGCAGUGGGGAAUCUUGCACAAUGAGCGCAAGCCUGAUGCAGCAACGCCGCGUGCGGGAUGACGGCCUUCGGGUUGUAAACCGCUUUCGCCUGUGACGAAGCGUGAGUGACGGUAAUGUGUAAAGAAGCACCGGCUAACUACGUG